GAAUCUGCCUGGUAGUGGGGGAUAACGUCCGGAAACGGGCGCUAAUACCGCAUACGUCCUGAGGGAGAAAGUGGGGGAUCUUCGGACCUCACGCUAUCAGAUGAGCCUAGGUCGGAUUAGCUAGUUGGUGGGGUAAAGGCCUACCAAGGCGACGAUCCGUAACUGGUCUGAGAGGAUGAUCAGUCACACUGGAACUGAGACACGGUCCAGACUCCUACGGGAGGCAGCAGUGGGGAAUAUUGGACAAUGGGCGAAAGCCUGAUCCAGCCAUGCCGCGUGUGUGAAGAAGGUCUUCGGAUUGUAAAGCACUUUAAGUUGGGAGGAAGGGCAGUAAGUUAAUACCUUGCUGUUUUGACGUUACCAACAGAAUAAGCACCGGCUAACUUCGUGCCAGCAGCCGCGGUAAUACGAAGGGUGCAAGCGUUAAUCGGAAUUACUGGGCGUAAAGCGCGCGUAGGUGGUUCAGCAAGUUGGAUGUGAAAUCCCCGGGCUCAACCUGGGAACUGCAUCC
rnacentral:rRNA from 2 species